GGCGUCUAAUACUGGAUACGAACCACGAAGGCAUGUUCAGUGGUUGGAAAGAUUUAUUGGUUGGGGAUGGGCUCGCGGCCUAUCAGCUUGUUGGUGAGGUAAUGGCUCACCAAGGCGUCGACGGGUAGCCGGCCUGAGAGGGUGACCGGCCACACUGGGACUGAGACACGGCCCAGACUCCUACGGGAGGCAGCAGUGGGGAAUAUUGCACAAUGGGCGCAAGCCUGAUGCAGCAACGCCGCGUGAGGGAUGACGGCCUUCGGGUUGUAAACCUCUUUUAGCAGGGAAGAAGCGAAAGUGACGGUACCUGCAGAAAAAGCGCCGGCUAACUACGUGCCAGCAGCCGCGGUAAUACGUAGGGCGCAAGCGUUAUCCGGAAUUAUUGGGCGUAAAGAGCUCGUAGGCGGUUUGUCGCGUCUGCUGUGAAAUCCCGAGGCUCAACCUCCGGCCUGCAGUGGGUACGGGCAGACUAGAGUGCGGUAGGGGAGAUUGGAAUUCCUGGUGUAGCGGUGGAAUGCGCAGAUAUCAGGAGGAACACCGAUGGCGAACGCUGAUCUCUGGGCCGUAACUGACGCUGAGGAGCGAAAGGGUGGGGAGCAAACUGGCUUACAUACCCUG
rnacentral:rRNA from 1 species